GGAGGCUCAUAGAAAAUUUCUGUGACCAUAUGUAGCAAUGCAUAUUGGAAAAAUCCUCGAAAUUGCUGGAAACUCGUUAGAGCCAUUCUUGCAACAACGCAAUCCGAAAGGAUAAACGUGAGUGCUAAAAAAAGAAUGGAUUCGACAAUCAGCAGCCAAGCCUUAGAAAUAGGGAAGGUUCAGAGACUAUAAUGAGGAAUUCCCAUUGGGAAUAUGGUAUAGUCCAUUCCUUUAAGAAACUAAAGG
rnacentral:ncRNA from 1 species